rnacentral:rRNA from 1 species
UACGUAGGGGGCAAGCGUUGUCCGGAUUUACUGGGCGUAAAGCGCGUGUAGGCGGAGAGGAAAGUCCGGUGUGAAAGCCCCCAGCUCAACUGGGGAAGGUCGCUGGAAACUGCCUUUCUUGAGGGCGACAGAGGGAAGUGGAAUUGCUGGUGUAACGGUGAAAUGUGUAGAUAUCAGCAGGAACACCCGUGGCGAAGGCGGCUUCCUGGGUCGGCCCUGACGCUGAGACGCGAAAGCGUGGGGAGCGAACGGG